AAGCUUUAUGGCAGAAUAUUGCAAUAGAUUUAGAAUCUAAACACGUUU
rnacentral:tRNA from 1 species